rnacentral:rRNA from 1 species
GACGAACGCUGGCGGCGUGCUUAACACAUGCAAGUCGAACGGAAAGGCCCUGCUUUUGUGGGGCGCUCGAGUGGCGAACGGGUGAGUAACAUGUGUGUAACCUGCCCUUGACUUUGGGAUAACUUCAGGAAACUGGGGCUAAUACCGGAUAGGAGCCCCUGCCGCAUGGUGGGGGUUGGAAAGUUUCGGCGGUUGGGGAUGGACUCGCGGCUUAUCAGCUUGUUGGUGGGGUAGUGGCUUACCAAGGCUUUGACGGGUAGCCGGCCUGAGAGGGUGACCGGCCACAUUGGGACUGAGAUACGGCCCAGACUCCUACGGGAGGCAGCAGUGGGGAAUAUUGCACAAUGGGCGGAAGCCUGAUGCAGCAACGCCGCGUGCGGGAUGACGGCCUUCGGGUUGUAAACCGCUUUCGCCUGUGACGAAGCGUGAGUGACGGGAAUGGGUAAAGAAGCACCGGCUAACUACGUG